UUUCUUUGUCUGUAAAAUGCACACUUAAUCAAGUUUUGUAUGAGAAAUGAAUGAAGACAUGAAGGGAUCAACAUGCUUUCUGUCUUUUCAUAGCACAUUUUGCUACUUCAUACAUCUUGAUUUCCUUGUUGUCCACAUUGUUUUAGUAUUUGGCUAAAAUGUACUGAAUAAAUGAUCAUAUUUUCUCUUAAAGCAAUGGUCGAAUUGGAUGGAGAUGAUGUAAGAGUCUCCUCUAGAGGAAAAUAUGCUGAAAGAGACAUUGUGCAGUUUGUGCCAUUCAGGGAUUAUAUUGACAGAAGUGGAAACCACAUACUGAGCAUGGCUAGAUUGGCUAAAGAUGUCCUAGCUGAGAUCCCUGAGCAGUUUCUCUCCUAUA
rnacentral:lncRNA from 1 species